UCAGGAGAGGUGGCGACGGCUCUGCCGUCCAAUGGAGCGCAGCAGGCGAGAGGCGUGCAGCCCGGGCAUUUAGGAUCGCUCAGGUGUGAUUAUCCCGGUUGGAGAAAGCCUGAGUCACAGCGAGCCAGGACAAAAAUCGGAAUAAAAGAUGCCUGCCCGUAUUAUAUUGUUAAACAUAUAUUCUCUGGAGGAGACCAAUCAUUUGUAAUUUGCUCAGAAAAAAAGAGAAUCACUGGUCUGUACAAAGGCUCAUUGCUCUAUUACCAUCAUGCCAACACAUUCGUUCAAGAUCACUCAGGAAAACUGCAUGGCG